rnacentral:rRNA from 1 species
UACGUAGGUGGCAAGCGUUGUCCGGAUUUAUUGGGCUUAAAGGGUGCGUAGGCGGCUUUGUAAGUCAGUGGUGAAAUACUCUAGCUUAACUAGAGGGGUGCCAUUGAUACUGCAGAGCUUGAGUACAGAUGAGGUAGGCGGAAUUGACGGUGUAGCGGUGAAAUGCAUAGAUAUCGUCAAGAACACCGAUAGCGAAGGCAGCUUACUGGGCUGUAACUGACGCUGAUGCACGAAAGCGUGGGGAUCAAACAGG